GUUAAUGAAGGUGUGUAUUUUGUCAACAGUGAUCUUUAAUAAAUUUGUUAUUACGUUAAUUUGUGUUACUUAACUCUUGGCUCAUCUGUUUACAAGUCGUUGUGCUGUUGCUAUAGCAACAGUGAAUACACCACUAAGCGUGGGUGAUCACGCUAAUGCUGGGAGGUUUUUUGUUAUUACAUCGCCGGGAAUGUGAUACAGGGACUGUGUGCCAGCUCUGAGACAUACAUGUGGCCCAGUAUAUAUCUCCCCAGGAGUGUAAAUAGCAACAUGAGCUGAUAAACAAGAACAAUUGAGUUGUACAGAGAAGUAAUUUGCUACCUGCUAGAAAGACCUCUUUCUCCCUGUUCUCAAGCUCCACGGGUAAGUGUGUAAUGUUUGAUCGAUUUAAAAUUCAGUGUUAGCUUUGGUUAUAGACUGUGCAAGGAACUGAGCACCAUGUGAAUUCUUCUAUUCAUCUAAGUAUGAUAGGCUUAUUGUUAAAUAGUUGUAAUGUAUGUUACCUGUGUUUGUGGCUUUUCCUUCUGUAAUAGAUGUGGUAAUGUAUCAGAGAGCUAGGUAUAGAAGCAGGUUAUACAGGUUUUAAAAUGAACCAGAAUAUUCAGUGGUAAUAUUAUCCCUGUGUUAGGUCAGAUACGCUAAGAGCCAAGGUCAGGGUUAUCCAGAUCACUGGAUCGAAAUACAGUUACCUAGCACCCAGGCCUCCCACAGCUUGGUGGGAUGUCCCUCGACAACCUCUUGUAACUGUAGUCAACUCUGGCCAAGAUGUCUGUGCCUGUUCAUGUGCCCCAUAUUUCUUUCUUUUUUUUUGUGAAUAACAUUUUUAUUGGUUUAACAUAAAUGAUAACAAUCAAUUGUGACAGCAACACAAUAUAUUUUCCUCUGUUCAAGAUCACGCUUGUAUGACUGCCACUUGUGAAAAAAAGGAAAGAGUAACAUAUGCUCCUAUUUACACUACACAAGUCAAACUAAUAAGACUGAUGACUGAUUUUUAGGGUUAGGAUGUAACAUCUAACAGGGUAUUUUAAUUUCUCAGUCAGAGAUAAGACAUCAUAA
ensembl:lncRNA